CUACGGGAGGCAGCAGUGGGGAAUAUUGGACAAUGGGCGCAAGCCUGAUCCAGCAAUGCCGCGUGAGUGAAGACGGCCUUAGGGUUGUAAAACUCUUUCGCUAGGGAAGAUAAUGACUGUACCUAGUAAAGAAGUCCCGGCUAACUCCGCGCCAGCAGCCGCGGUAAUACGGAGGGGACUAGCGUUGUUCGGAAUUACUGGGCGUAAAGAGUUCGUAGGCGGACUGACAAGUUAGAGGUGAAAUCCCAGGGCUCAACCCUGGAACUGCCUUUAAAACUGUCAGUCUAGAGACCGGAAGAGGUUAGGGGAAUACCUAGUGUAGAGGUGAAAUUCGUAGAUAUUAGGUGGAACACCAGUGGCGAAGGCGCCUAACUGGUCCGGUACUGACGCUGAGGAACGAAAGCGUGGGGAGCAAACAGGAUUAGAUACCCCAGUAGUC
rnacentral:rRNA from 1 species